GAGGUAAUUCCACCCUAGAACAAGAAGACACAUUAGCAAGUGUUUGCUAACUGACCAGUUAAGUCUCUUAUAUUUUGAAGAAGGGCUUGAGAAAGGAGGGAAAGGUUACGCCACAAUAUGAAAACAAAGGCCCAAGGAAGGGAAGAGUAUGUCAUUCCUUAGGAAGUCCGACAAUUUCUUCUAUGUCUAUUUCAUGGUAACCCAGCAUAAAGUAUAUAGGCAAUCUGACACAAGGUUGGCUUACUUUUGUGAAGCUAGUAAUGUGGUGCACGUCAUGGACUUAAAUAAUGGCUGUUACUUCACAGCUGUUAUUUAACAGAUUUUUUUUGGGUGUUUGUGUGUGGGAGAGAAGAAAGAGGGGGAGGGAAGCUGUUUUCGCCGGGGGAGGGGGCCGCCCUGUGGGAGAUGGUUGUUUACUGUUUAAUUAUCUAAUUUAAAUCUUCUUUUUCCUUUUUACAGCCACUACCACUAUAGAACUGCCAAACUCCCACUCCUAUGCAUACCCGAAUUUGCAGCCCUCAUGACCACCAUUUUCAGCUUUUCUUCAACUCAAUAAUUCAACAAUCUUACAGCUCGAAAUUAAUGCUUGAUUUCACUUAGUAAGGAGAAGCAAUAGAGCAUUUUCACACUUUCCUAAAAAUAGUUGGGUUAAUUUUGACCUUUUUU
rnacentral:misc_RNA from 1 species